GCGCCCCUUCCUCCGCCCAUCGGCCGCCACGUGGCAGCCGAGUGAGGGCCUCAGGGCGGCGC
rfam:Oryza nivara chromosome 10, whole genome shotgun sequence.